UGCAAUUCGCUCUACAGUUUCAGAUUCAAGUUUCAGAUUCAAGUUUCAGAUUCAAGUUUCAGAUUCAAGGUUCAGAUUCAAGGUUCAGAUUCACAUUCAUAUUCAAAUUUGAUUCUGAUUAUGAGUCUGAAAAUGAAUCUGAAACUGUGGAGCGGAUCGCA